GAUGAACGCUGGCGGCGUGCCUAAUACAUGCAAGUCGAGCGAACAGACGAGGAGCUUGCUCCUCUGACGUUAGCGGCGGACGGGUGAGUAACACGUGGAUAACCUACCUAUAAGACUGGGAUAACUUCGGGAAACCGGAGCUAAUACCGGAUAAUAUAUUGAACCGCAUGGUUCAAUAGUGAAAGACGGUUUUGCUGCCACUUAUAGAUGGAUCCGCGCCGCAUUAGCUAGUUGGUAAGGUAACGGCUUACCAAGGCAACGAUGCGUAGCCGACCUGAGAGGGUGAUCGGUCACACUGGAACUGAGACACGGUCCAGACUCCUACGGGAGGCAGCAGUAGGGAAUCUUCCGCAAUGGGCGAAAGCCUGACGGAGCAACGCCGCGUGAGUGAUGAAGGUCUUCGGAUCGUAAAACUCUGUUAUUAGGGAAGAACAAAUGUGUAAGUAACUAUGCACGUCUUGACGGUACCUAAUCAGAAAGCCACGGCUAACUACGUG
rnacentral:rRNA from 1 species